rnacentral:lncRNA from 1 species
UUUUGCUCUCUGAGAACGAGGUUCAUGUGUUGGUCGAACACCACGAAUUUUUCAAUCAGUUGAGACCAUCUUGGAUGGUAACACGCAUACAAAAAUUAAUGUAUUGAAGCAUUUUAGAACUCUUUGACAUUUAUAUUUUUGCUGAAUUUUGAAAUAAAAACAAAGAUGGAGCUUAAAGUUUUGGAGGAAUAGAUAAACGAUGGUCAAGAGGCGGCACGGCAAAGGCUCAGCUACUGGGAGUGUAAAUUUGAAGGGGUUAAAUAUUAGGGCUAGGGGUAGAUAUGUAUAUAUGUUGAAAAUAGUUAGGC